GUGAGGAAUAUUGGUCAAUGGACGAGAGUCUGAACCAGCCAAGUCGCGUGAAGGAAGACGGUUCUAUGAAUUGUAAACUUCUUUUGUGCAGGAAUAAAGUGGGUUACGUGUAACCUUUUGUAUGUACUGUACGAAUAAGGAUCGGCUAACUCCGUGCCAGCAGCCGCGGUAAUACGGAGGAUCCGAGCGUUAUCCGGCUUUAUUGGGUUUAAAGGGUGCGUAGGUGGAUUGAUAAGUCAGCGGUGAAAGUUUGCAGCUUAACUGUAAAAUUGCCGUUGAAACUGUCGGUCUUGAGUGCAAAUGAGGUAGGCGGAAUGUGUUGUGUAGCGGUGAAAUUCGUAGAUAUAACACAGAACUCCGAUUGCGAAGGCAGCUUACUGGGAUGCAACUGACACUGAUGCACGAAAGCGUGAGUAUCAAACAGGAUUAGAUACCCGAGUAGUCC
rnacentral:rRNA from 1 species